AACGAACGCUGGCGGCAUGCCUAACACAUGCAAGUCGAACGAGACCUUCGGGUCUAGUUGCGCACGUGUGCGUAACGCGUGGGAACCUGCCCUUAGGUUCGGAAUCACUCCCCGAAAGGGGUGCUAAUACCGCAUAAUGUCUUCCGACCAAAGAUUUAUCGCCUUUGGAUGGGCCCGCGUUGGAUUCGCUAGUUGGUAGUGUAAAAGCCUACCAAGGCGACGAUCCAUAGCUGGUUGGAUAGGAUGACUAGCCACACUGGGACUGAGACACGGCCCAGAAUCCGACGGGAGGGAGGAGUGGGGAAUAUUGGACAAGGGGCGAAAGCCUGAUCCAGCAAUGCCGCGUGAGAGAUGAAGGCCUUAGGGUUGUAAAGCUCUUUUACCCGGGAUGAUAAUGACAGUAACGGGAGAAUAAGCACCGGCUAACUCCGUG
rnacentral:rRNA from 1 species